rnacentral:rRNA from 1 species
GCUGACGAGUGGCGGACGGGUGAGUAAUGCUUGGGAACUUGCCUUUGCGAGGGGGAUAACAGUUGGAAACGACUGCUAAUACCGCAUAAUGUCUACGGACCAAACGGGGCUUAGGCUUCGGCGCAGAGAGAGGCCCAAGUGAGAUUAGCUAGUUGGUGGGGUAAAGGCUCACCAAGGCGACGAUCUCUAGCUGUUCUGAGAGGAAGAUCAGCCACACUGGGACUGAGACACGGCCCAGACUCCUACGGGAGGCAGCAGUGGGGAAUAUUGCACAAUGGGGGGAACCCUGAUGCAGCCAUGCCGCGUGUGUGAAGAAGGCCUUCGGGUUGUAAAGCACUUUCAGUUGUGAGGAAAAGUGAGUAGUUAAUACCUGCUCACCGUGACGUUAACAACAGAAGAAGCACCGGCUAACUCCGUGCCAGCAGCCGCGGUAAUACGGAGGGUGCGAGCGUUAAUCGGAAUUACUGGGCGUAAAGCGCACGCAGGCGGUUUGUUAAGCUAGAUGUGAAAGCCCCGAGCUCAACUUGGGAUGGUCAUUUAGAACUGGCAGACUAGAGUCUUGGAGAGGGGAGUGGAAUUCCAGGUGUAGCGGUGAAAUGCGUAGAUAUCUGGAGGAACAUCAGUGGCGAAGGCGACUCCCUGGCCAAAGACUGACGCUCAUGUGCGAAAGUGUGGGUAGCGAACAGGAUUAGAUACCCUGGUAGUCCACACCGUAAACGCUGUCUACUAGCUGUUUGUGGCUUUAAGCCGUGAGUAGCGAAGCUAACGCGAUAAGUAGACCGCCUGGGGAGUACGGCCGCAAGGUUAAAACUCAAAUGAAUUGACGGGGGCCCGCACAAGCGGUGGAGCAUGUGGUUUAAUUCGAUGCAACGCGAAGAACCUUACCUAC